rnacentral:rRNA from 1 species
UACGUAGGGUGCGAGCGUUAAUCGGAAUUACUGGGCGUAAAGCGUGCGCAGGCGGUUCGUUGUGUCGGUGGUGAAAGCCCCGGGCUCAACCUGGGAAUGGCCAUGGAAACUGGCGAACUGGAGUGUGGCAGAGGGGGGUGGAAUUCAGCGUGUAGCAGUGAAAUGCGUAGAGAUGCGGAGGAACACCGAUGGCGAAGGCAGCCCCCUGGGCUAGCACUGACGCUCAGGCACGAAAGCGUGGGGAGCAAACAGG